AAAAAAAAAAAAAAAAAAAAAGAAAAGAAAAGAGAAACAUGGCAGCAAGAGAAUGAAUAAAUGCAGGCCACCUGGCUCAGAGCCGCAGGACUUGAAUUCAGAUCCCAGCCCCCUGGCUGACCUCCCUGUGUAAGUUCUACUGACCUAAUCCAUAAAGGAGGGGAGGGAUGAGUUCAUCGCUGGGAUUCCUUCCAGCCCCCAAACUCAAUAUUUUGUAUCCACAUAGGAAAAAGAAAGAAUAUUUAUGCAGUCGUCCCACUGAACUGGAGCAGGGAAGAAACCUGCCUGGAUGAUUCAGGCUCACAUACACAAUCAUCUCCAAAUAUGCUUCCCUUCUGUCAAAUGCCAUCUCCUAAAUAUCACCAGAGCAACCUGCGGAGAAGGCAAGGCUGAGUUGAUUGUUCACCGUGGUAAGAUAAUGCUGAAAUUAACAUCUUUGGAUAUACAAUUCUCUGCUUCUGAAGAAUGAAAAGAUAAAUAACAGAGCUAAGAAAGGGACUGAUGAAACUUACAACAGCAGGUCUCAAAUUUUUGGUCUCAGGACCCCUUUAUGCUCUUAAAAAUGAUUGACAGCCUCCAAGAGCUUUUGUUCAUGCUUUGGUAAGGCUGUGAGAGCACAGAGCUGAAUUAGGGAUCUUGGACUUCAAGUUACUGACUAGCCCCAGCACUCGCCAAGCUCACAAAGAAGACAGAAACGAGGUAAACAUCCAACCAUGUUUAUGGAAGAGUUCAUCUCUCUGUCAGCAUUACGUACAUGCAGAAAGGUGUAAAAAAUCAUAACAGCGCUGUUUGCAUUUUUCAGAAACGGAACACACCUAUAUUAUGUCUCUUUUUAAGGAGGUUUUUGGGUGGCUUUUGUUUAGAGGCAGAGUAGAAUAAUAGAAAAACAACCUGGGGUUUACCUUUAGGACUCUCUCUCUCUCUCUUCUGUAAAUGUAAGGUUCGGCAAAAAAAUUCAUUAAACUUUUGUCCACCUUUAACAUUCUAUGAGUUUUAAUGUGUUUGGAAGCUUUGGAAGAUUGGAUUGCUAGAGUACUGGUCAGGAUCAUUUCUGUAUUUAAUAAAAUUGGGAGAGCUAGCGAAUAAAGCAGGAAGCCUGCCAUCUAGUGGCAAAUGUGUACAUUGCUCUUUUGCUUGGACUCGGGCUGAGUUUUCAGAACCAGAGUCCUUUUCUUCUGGCCCCCACCUUCCUUAAUUACAGGGGUUUUAAUUGCGCCACAGUUAGACAAUACUUAAUUGUCUUAGCUACAUUGUAAUGAGUGAAGGGAAUACACUUGUGAUUUGGCUGAACGCAGGAGAGAGAGGCCCCUUGCAUUCAUAGUUAAUUGCUUCAAAACUCUGCCUGCGGCUUUGCCAUGCCCUCAUUCGCACUUUGGGCUAAAAUUAUAAGGAUCCAUUAGAUACUGUCUCUGCCUCCAGACUUCAGGCUGCAGGGAGGGGGACGCCAGCUGGAGUUUUUUUCUGACAGCUUAUUUAUUUAUUUUUCAG
rnacentral:lncRNA from 1 species